UUUGACGGUCAUAGCGGUGGGGCCACACCUGGUCUCAUUCCGAACCCAGAAGUUAAGCCCACCUGCGUUCUGCGCGGUACUGUGGUGCGAGAGCCCACGGGAACCGCAGAACGCUGUCAGCC
rnacentral:rRNA from 1 species